rnacentral:rRNA from 1 species
GACGAACGCUGGCGGCGUGCUUAACACAUGCAAGUCGAGCGGUAAGGCCCUUUCGGGGGUACGACGAGCGGCGAACGGGUGAGUAACACGUGGGUGACCUGCCCUCCAGCUCUGGGAGUAAGCCUGGGAAACCGGGGUCUAAUACUGGAUAUGACUCCAUGACGCAUGUUGUGGGGUGGAAAGACCUUGUGCGGCUGAGGAUGGGCCCGCGGCCUAUCAGCUUGUUGGUGGGGUGAUGG